AUUGAACGCUGGCGGCAUGCCUUACACAUGCAAGUCGAACGGCAGCACGGGUGCUUGCACCUGGUGGCGAGUGGCGAACGGGUGAGUAAUACAUCGGAACGUACCUUAUCGUGGGGGAUAACAAAUUGAAAAAUUUGCUACUACCGCAUAAUACUCUGAGGAGACAAGCGGGGGAUUCGUAAUAAACUAGUGCGAUUAGAAGGGACGAUGGCUGAUUAGAUAGUUGGUGAGGUAAAGGCCCACCAAGGCAACGAUCAGUAGCAGGUUUGAGAGGAUGAUCUGCCACACUGGAACUGAGAAACGGUCCAGACUCCUACGGGAGGCAGCAGUGGGGAAUUUUGGACAAUGGACGAAAGUCUGAUCCAGCAAUGCCGCGUGAGUGAAGAAGGCCUUCGGGUUGUAAAGCUCUUUUGUCAGUGAAGAAAACUUUAGUAAUAACACUAUUAAAGCAUGACGGUAACUGAAGAAUAAGGACCGGCUAACUACGUGCCAGCCGCCGCAGUAA
rnacentral:rRNA from 1 species